AUCCUGGGGCUGAAGCAGGUCCCAAGGGUUUGGCUGUUCGCCAAUUAAAGCGGUACGCGAGCUGGGUUUAGAACGUCGUGAGACAGUUCGGUCCCUAUCUUCCGUGGGCGUAGGAAUUUUGAGGAGAGCUGACCCUAGUACGAGAGGACCGGGUUGGACGAACCUCUGGUGUUCCGGUUGUUGUGCCACUGGCAUUGCCGGGUAGCUACGUUCGGACGGGAUAACCGCUGAAAGCAUCUAAGCGGGAAGCCCCCUCCAAGAUGAGAAUUCCUGUGACACAAGUCACCUAAAGGCCAGUCGGAGACUACGACUUUGAUAGGCAGGGUGUGGAAGUGCAGCAAUGCAUGGAGCUAACCUGUACUAAUCGGCCGUGAAGCUUCAUCAU
rnacentral:rRNA from 1 species